AUCAAAAUUAAAUUAAAAAAUAAACUAAACAAAAGAUUACAAGUGAUAAAAUGUCUAAAAAAAAUUAAAAAUAUCAUCAAUUUACACUUGUAAAUCCAAAAUAUUAUUCAAAUGUACAACGUCCCAAAAGAGCGAACUGGCUAAGCCUGCCUACGUAGCAUAUAACCAAGUAGCGUACCACACUCCAGGUGACUAUGGUUGAAACAUUGAUUUCAACAAUCCAUAUUGCUUAUCAUCCAUGCUCUGGAUCAUCUCAGAAAUUGCUAAGUCAACUGUGCAGCAAUUUCUAGUAGUAGUAACAAUGGUCUAUUUAAACGCUCGAGAUUGACCCACAAUGGUACAAAAAUUCCCAAAUAUGAAUAUGACACUUUUGACAGCUCAAAACCAUGGGAAAAAAUUGGGAGGUUCUAGCCCUCUACAUAUGCCAGUAACAUAGGUCUCAGCACACAAAUACCUCUCCAGUCCAGAAUGCAGACAAGAAGGGUUAAGUGAACACACCAAAUAACUAAAACUGAGUUAACUCAGCCACUUUUACAGGUAAAAUAAUUUACCAUCCCUGAGAUCCAUUUCAUCAACCACAAAUAGUCACUAUGAUAACAGAAGCAACAACACCAGCAUUUUCACUCUAAUCAGAGAUCAAGGAAUCCAAAUUAUCAUUAUCAUUAUCCACCCUACCAGCACCAUCAAACAUCGAACCAUCUACCAAUGCACAACUCUCUAUGGCCUACUAAAGUAAAGCUAGCAUCAACUUUCAAAAGUCCAAGAGAAAUUUCAAGAUUCAAAAAAGAGAUUAAAAGCAACAAAACUAGUCUCUAAUACCACUAAUCUCAAACAUGAUCCAUCAUUGAUUAGUGUCCACAACCUUUUGUUUGUUUAAGUAAUACACACAAGCCUCUGUGUGCGUGUGUGUGU
rnacentral:misc_RNA from 1 species